GAGCUACUCCAAGGCAGCCUAUAAGGGCACACCCGUCUCUGUGGCAAAAGAGUGGGAAGACCUUUGAGUAGAGGUGACAGACCUACCGAACUUGGUUAUAGCUGGUUGCCCAGGAAACGAAUAGAAGUUCAGCCUUUUGUACUCUCCCCGCACAAAUCAAUUUCACUCGGAAACGCCCGAGAGCACAAAAGAGUUAGUCAAAGGGGGUACAGCCCCUUUGAAAAAGAUACAACUUUCCUAGCAGGGUUAAGAUCAUAACUAUCGCUAGGGGAAUGUGUCCUAGUUGGCCUAAGAGCAGCCACCCAAAUAGAAAGCGUUAAAGCUCAAUCACUUCCUCACCCCUUAUAUACGGAUCACACAAUCUUACCCCCCUAAACUUACUGAGCCUUCCCAUAGCCCUAUGGGAGAGACUAUGCUAAAAUGAGUAAUAAGAGACCUUGAAUCUCUCCUUUCACAAGUGUAUAUCGGAACGAACCCUCACCGAACAUUAACGGCCCCAAUAGUAGAGGGCACUGAAACACAUGGCUAAACCACUAGAAAACCAUCCACCCCCCCCCCCCCGUUAACCUUACACUAGAGUGUAUAAAAGGAGGACUAAAAGAAA
rnacentral:rRNA from 1 species